rnacentral:sRNA from 1 species
AAAUCUGAGCUCCCCAUCUUCCGUUAGGCU